UUGAGUAGCCUACAGUAACGUCGUCCCAUCGCAAAAAAAUAACAAUAUUCCACUAAUAACAUUUGAGUUUUGUAAUGAAUGGUCGUCAGAAGAGGAAGGGAAGGAAAGAAACCUGGUUACUUCACUGCAAAUCUCAAGCAGGAGGUAGAGCAUGUUGUCUGCUAAUUGGAUGAUCACCAGUAGGAUCCCUGGCUCUCCCAGUCCCCAUGUUGAAGUAUCCUCCUUGGCUUUUGGUCAAGAAAAUGUCUUUUAACCCACCACGACUUCACACUGUCCAACAUUCAGAGUGUGGUGGAUCUCAGGGAAACACUCACCCAGCAUCCUCCUCUCCUUUGCUGGCAUCAAUCUUGCCUCCAUCUCCGCC